rnacentral:rRNA from 1 species
AGCAGCCGCGGUAAUUCCAGCUCCAAUAGCGUAUAUUAAAGUUGCUGCAGUUAAAAAGCUCGUAGUUGAAUUUCGGGACUAAUAUGUUGGUCGUGCCUCGGUACGUACUGAUAUUUUUGGUUUCUCCCUUCUGACGAACCUUGAUGUCAUUAAUUUGGUGUCUUGGGAAAUCAGGACUGUUACUUUGAAGAAAUUAGAGUGUUUAAAGCAGGCUCACGCUUGAAUACAUUAGCAUGGAAUAAUGAAAUAGGACGUUUGAUUCUAUUUUGUUGGUUUCUAGGAUCGACGUAAUGAUUAAUAGGGAUAGUUGGGGGCAUUAGUAUUCAAUUGUCAGAGGUGAAAUUCUUGGAUUUAUUGAAGACUAACUACUGCGAAAGCAUUUGCCAAGGAUGUUUUCAUUAAUCAAGAACGAAAGUUAGGGGAUCGAAGACGAUCAGAUACCGUCGUAGUCUUAACCAUAAACUAUGCCGACUAGGGAUCGGAUGAUGUUAAUUUUUAAUGACUCAUUCGGCGCCUUACG